GUGUGGGUGGCCGAGUGGUUGAAGGCAGCGGGCUGUAGCCCCGCUCUGUAAAAGGCGCGUGGGUUCGAAUCCUACCCCACACA
rnacentral:tRNA from 1 species